UACGAAGGGGGCUAGCGUUGCUCGGAAUCACUGGGCGUAAAGGGUGCGUAGGCGGGUCUUUAAGUCAGGGGUGAAAUCCUGGAGCUCAACUCCAGAACUGCCUUUGAUACUGGCGAUCUCGAGUCCGGGAGAGGUGAGUGGAACUGCGAGUGUAGAGGUGAAAUUCGUAGAUAUUCGCAAGAACACCGGUGGCGAAGGCGGUUCUCUGGGCCUGUACUGACGCUGAGGAACGAAAGCGUGGGGAGCGAACAGG
rnacentral:rRNA from 1 species